GCAAUAUGUGCAUGAAUCAAGAGUUCCAGUGGUGGUGUAGCUUCCUGGUGGUCGGUGGCAAGGAUCCAGACCGAAGUAGCAAGCAGAAGUAAUGGAAGAAAAUACCAGGUCAGACCAUUAUUUUUACAAUGGAAAGAGGGCUGUGCCUCUUUCGGCAUAGUUGCUGCAGCUCCUCCUGCACCGCCACUACAAUUACUCUUUUGUCAGCAUUUGACCGGAUCUGAUUGUAUCCAUGUAUCAGGAAACGCUGCAGGAUGAAAAUGCAAACGCAUCGAUUGGAGACACAGCACACUGGAUCCUUCCAACUCAUCUUCAUCACAUCUAUACUCCCUUCUGUAGUGACAACUUGGCCAGGUGUUAUCGGUAAGUAUGGAUUCGACUUGAGACGCUGGUAUGUGGUUUCGUCCCGAAUUAAUCGCUGAACCAUAUAAAGGUCUAAGGAAGGUAGCGCAGUAGUGAUGUGCGUGCGUUCCACGCUACAAUACAUGUGCGUUCCAGCUGCCGGAACUAUAUUCGAGAUCGGAAACAGCCAUUAAAUGGUUUAAACCUAGAGUUAUACGUCCAAAGGUUUAUGCAUAACAAUCGCCAUAUGGAGUCCAUGUUUUGUAAAAUGCUAAUAAUCCAGCCCGCGGCUUACAACAAACUGACACCAAAAUUAAAAUACAAGGACUAUAUAAACCUUCAUACAACAGCUAUUGAAAAAGGGGUCUCCCCGAAACGUGUCUAGCGUACCAUCUAGCUCUACCCUACCAUAUUGACCACCUAUAGGGUCCAAUUCAAGUUAUCCAGACUUGCAACAGCUGGAACCCCCUGCAAUAGGGACCACUGUUUGAGACCAACUGGGACGUGCUUACUCCACCACGAGAACGCCGUCCACACACGGCAUUUGGAUUAUCGUUGCCUGCGUCCACUCACCACAGCUGCUUGCCGCAAUAUUCUCCGCACCAUCGGAGGAACCCUGAGGUUUUACCGCCCAGACGCAUCGGGCCAGCCGCUGAGCAGAGCCAAUCCAUGCCACGGAGCCCAGCACAUCAGGGGUUACCAUCUCUGGGAUACGGAGCGGUGAGUGGUGCAGAAGCACUAACCACUAUCUAUCUACCUACAACUAUUAACUAUUGUUGCAACUUAUGAUAAAAACUUUGAUACUAUCUAUUUCAAUUAUCGCGAUCAGAACACUUGCUAUACAAAGCUAUGGCCAAAGUCUGCUGAGAUACGGCCAGCAACAGACUAAUAACUCCGAUCUGAUCCAAUAGGUGGCUGCUAUAUGGACUAAUUAUUUUAACUAUUUUUUAAUUAAUUUUUUAUCUAUUUUUAAUACUAUCAUUUUGACCUAUUAUCAUUGCAUUAAUCUGUUUGUCGUCUAGUCCACAGCAAGGGCCCUGCUUGGACUAU